AGUGAACGCUGGCGGUAGGCCUAACACAUGCAAGUCGAACGGCAGCACAGGAGAGCUUGCUCUCUGGGUGGCGAGUGGCGGACGGGUGAGGAAUACAUCGGAAUCUACUUUUUCGUGGGGGAUAACGUAGGGAAACUUACGCUAAUACCGCAUACGACCUACGGGUGAAAGCAGGGGACCUUCGGGCCUUGCGCGAUUGAAUGAGCCGAUGUCGGAUUAGCUAGUUGGCGGGGUAAAGGCCCACCCAGGCGACGAUCCGUAGCUGGUCUGAGAGGAUGAUCAGCCACACUGGAACUGAGACACGGUCCAGACUCCUACGGGAGGCAGCAGUGGGGAAUAUUGGACAAUGGGCGCAAGCCUGAUUCAGCCAUACCGCGUGGGUGAAGGAGGCCUUCGGGUUGUAAAGCCCUUUUGUUGGGAAAGAAAUCCAGCUGGCUAAUACCCGGUUGGGAUGACGGUACCCAAAGAAUAAGCACCGGCUAACUUCGUGCCAGCCGCCGCCGUAA
rnacentral:rRNA from 1 species